rnacentral:rRNA from 1 species
GACGUAGGAGGCGAGCGUUGUCCGGAUUCAUUGGGCGUAAAGAGCGCGCAGGCGGCUUGGUAAGUCGGAUGUGAAAUCCCGAGGCUCAACCUCGGGUCUGCAUCCGAUACUGCCCGGCUAGAGGUAGGUAGGGGAGAUCGGAAUUCCUGGUGUAGCGGUGAAAUGCGUAGAGAUCGGGAGGAAGGCCGGUGGCGAAGGCGGCGCUCUGGAACGUUUCUGACGCUGAGGCUCGAAAGCGUGGGGAGCAAACAGG